UGGGGAAUAUUGCACAAUGGAGGGAACUCUGAUGCAGCGACGCCGCGUGAGUGAAGAAGGUCUUCGGAUCGUAAAACUCUGUCCUUGGUGAAGAUAAUGACGGUAACCAAGGAGGAAGCCCCGGCUAACUACGUGCCAGCAGCCGCGGUAAUACAUAGGGGGCUAGCGCGGUCCGGAUUUACUGGGCGUAAAGGGUGAGUAGGCGGUUAUGUAUGUCAGAUGUAAAAGGCGCGGGCUUAACUUGCGUUAGGCAUUGAAACUGCAUAACUUGAGCUCAGGAGAGCGUUGCCGGAAUUCCUAGGCCAGCGGUGAAAUGCGUAGAUAUUAGGAGGAACACCGGUGGCGAAGGCGGCUUACUGGACUGUAACUGACGCUGAGUCACGAAAGCGUGGGUAGCAAACAGGAUUAGAUAGGUCUGGUAGUCCACGCUGUAAACGAUGAGUGCUAGCAGCUGGGUAGCGAUACUCAGUGCCGGAGUAAACACAAUAAGCACUCCGCCUGGGGAGCAGGGUCGCAAGACUGUCGCUCCAAAGGAAUUGACGGGGAGU
rnacentral:rRNA from 1 species